rnacentral:rRNA from 1 species
UGGGGAGUACGGCCGCAAGGCUAAAACUCAAAGGAAUUGACGGGGACCCGCACAAGCGGUGGAUGAUGUGGAUUAAUUCCGAUGCAACGCGAAAAACCUUACCUACCCUUGACAUGUCCGAAAUCCCUGAGAGAUUGGGGAGUGCUCGAAAGAGAAUCGGAACACAGGUGCUGCAUGGCUGUCGUCAGCUCGUGUCGUGAGAUGUUGGGUUAAGUCCCGCAACGAGCGCAACCCUUGUCAUUAAUUGCCAUCAUUGAGUUGGGCACUUUAAUGAGACUGCCGGUGACAAACCGGAGGAAGGUGGGGAUGACGUCAAGUCCUCAUGGCCCUUAUGGGUAGGGCCUCACACGUCAUACAAUGGUCGGUCCAGAGGGUUGCCAAGCCGCGAGGUGGAGCCAAUCUCAGAAAGCCGAUCGUAGUCCGGAUUGCAGUCUGCAACUCGACUGCAUGAAGUCGGAAUCGCUAGUAAUCGCGGAUCAGCAUGUCGCGGUGAAUACGUUCCCGGGUCUUGUACACACCGCCCGUCACACCAUGGGAGCGGGUUCUGCCAGAAGUGGGUAGCCUAACCGCAAGGAAGGCGCUUGCCACGGCGGGGUUCGUGACUGGGGUGAAGUCGUAACAAGGUAACCGUA